rnacentral:tRNA from 1 species
AAGAAAGUUGACAGAAGUUGGGUAUGUGGCUCGGCUUGAAACCAGCAUAUGGGGGUUCAAUUCCUCCCUUUCUCG